CCCAAAUCCAUUACUUCUUUGCCCUCAAAGAAACUUAAUAGUCGUCCCUCACAAUCAAACGGAAGAGGAGUUAGGAAUUCCAAAGUUCGUCCUCUUGCCAUCCAUUUGCAUAUUCAGAGAAGACAGAAAGAACCAGAGAAGACAGAGAGAGCAGUGCCGUUUCUAAAUCACAACCUUCAUCGAGUCGAUCCUUUUCUUGAUGGAAGGAGGAAUUUAUUCACUCCGGCAUCAUAGUUGUCGCGCCAACUGUCACAGGGUUCGGAUAUUGCGGCAGAGAAUCACUGCAUCAGAUGCCCUAGCAGGCGAUUUGGUCAGAUUGUUCUUCAUGUUGGGAGAUAUAUUGUGACCAUGAUGAGCACUGGAGUGAUCUUGUUGAUUGGAUUCAGUCUGUCAGGUUGACUGAAGGUGGAGAUGGUCAAAUGAAUGAUUUGGUAUAGUUGGGUUGGUGGUAUUAUCAUUGGAAUCAUGAUUGGUUCAAACAUGGUUUUAGACGAAGUUAGCCGAGCCGAUCCUCGAAAUGUUGUAAUUCCCGGAAAUACUAGAGGGCUUGGUAAAGCUCUUGCUCGUGAAUUCCUACUUUCUGUAGAUCGGGUGGUUAUUGCUUCAGGAAGGAUGGCACCUUAACAAAAAAGAUGGGCAAAGCAUCUGACACACUAGACCCUCACCUAGCGGGUGACCAAGGUUGAAGACAGGUUACUGCUGGGAUCCAUGGUACCCAGGCUAACACCUAUUUCCGAGCUGAUGACAGAACAUUGGCAACUUCACGCUGUGAUUUAUCAUUUUUAGAUACUUAAAAUAUGACUUUAUUUUAUGUUUUUUAUGAUCAUUUACACGUUCUGGUUAUGUGCAGGAUCGACCUUCAACUAAGGUUCAUGUUCUUCCUUAGGUUGGUGAUCUAUCGAGGAGCUUCAAUAUAUGGAUUGCCUGAAUGAAAAAAGUUGAGUACUUGUUUAGCCUCCACAUAUAUUAUCCCUAAAAUAACUGUUACUGGUAAAAAAGGCCAUGUUUUUGUCUUACCUACGGUUAUAUCAUGGAUCUCCCUGUACCACGUUUCUUCCGGUAAUAAUAUAUAUUCUGAAAAAAUAUCUCUAAGUUUUAAUCUCUCUUUGUUUAUGCAGUCUAACCAACCUCAUACAUUGGUUGUUGUUACUCCGGAUCCUCCUAUCCGUAACCGUAAAGGCCAAACCUUGUACCCACAUAUUGUGAUAGGAUACUAUCUCUAUUUCCUACCAUGCUUUUUUUUUUAUUCUCUCAAACUCCCACUUCAUGAUUUAUCUUUUAUUUUGUUGCAGUAUGAAACUGCUUAUGUGGUGGACAGCACUUUGAUGAUGAAUGACAUCAUACAAACAAAAUGAUUAUAGCAAUUCGGAUCAUCUUAGCAAUUUGAUAAGGAUCGCAGUUCUCUCUAUUUUAUAACUUGUAUCCGAUGCUGGUAAAGAUCAUCAUUUUACAUUUUGGGGUGUUCGUUUUUAGAACAUGAUAUGUAGUCUUCUAAUGAUUUACGUAUCCAUAAUGUAGUUAGUCUCCUAUCUCUUAUAUUGUUGUUUUUCUUA